rnacentral:rRNA from 1 species
CGGAGGAAAAGAAACUAACAAGGAUUCCCCUAGUAACGGCGAGUGAAGAGGGAAAAGCUCAAAUUUUGAAUCUGGUGUCUUUGGCGCCCGAGUUGUAAUCUAGAGAAGUGUUUUCUGCCUCGGACCACACAUAAAUUCCCUGGAAUGGGGUGUCAUAGAGGGUGAGAAUCCCGUUUGUGGUGUGGACUACCUUGGCUCUGUGAUACACUCUCAACGAGUCGAGUUGUUUGGGAAUGCAGCUCAAAAUGGGUGGUAAAUUCCAUCUAAAGCUAAAUAUUGGCGAGAGACCGAUAGCGAACAAGUACCGUGAGGGAAAGAUGAAAAGCACUUUGGAAAGAGAGUGAAACAGUACGUGAAAUUGUUGAAAGGGAAGCGUUUGAAGUCAGUCACAUCGAUCGGAAUUCAGCCUGGCUUUGCCUGGUGUACUUUCUGGUAGAUGGGUCAGCGUCAAUUUCGACUGAGGGAAAAAGACUUGAGGAAUGUGGCUGUCUUCGGGCAGUGUUAUAGCCUCUUGUUGUAUGUCUCAGUUGGGAUUGAGGACCGCAGCACGCCAUUUGGCCGGGGUUCGCGCCCUCGGAACGUGCUUAGGACGCUGGCAUAAUGGCUUUAAGCGACCCGUCUUGAAACAC